rnacentral:snRNA from 1 species
AGCUGCUUCCGCGGCGAGAG